rnacentral:rRNA from 1 species
UGGGGAAUUUUGGACAAUGGGCGAAAGCCUGAUCCAGCAAUGCCGCGUGUGUGAAGAAGGCCUUCGGGUUGUAAAGCACUUUUGUCCGGAAAGAAAUGGCUCUGGUUAAUACCUGGGGUCGAUGACGGUACCGGAAGAAUAAGGACCGGCUAACUACGUGCCAGCAGCCGCGGUAAUACGUAGGGUCCAAGCGUUAAUCGGAAUUACUGGGCGUAAAGCGUGCGCAGGCGGUUGUGCAAGACCGAUGUGAAAUCCCCGAGCUUAACUUGGGAAUUGCAUUGGUGACUGCACGGCUAGAGUGUGUCAGAGGGGGGUAGAAUUCCACGUGUAGCAGUGAAAUGCGUAGAGAUGUAGAGGAAUACCGAUGGCGAAGGCAGCCCCCUGGGAUAACACUGACGCUCAUGCACGAAAGCGUGGGGAGCAAACAGG